AUACGUAGGAUUCGAGCGUUGUCCGGAUUUACUGGGCGUAAAGGGUGCGUAGGCGGCGCGGUAAGUCUCAUGUGAAAUCUCCCGGCUUAACUGGGAGGGGUCAUGGGAAACUGCCAUGCUCGAGGGCAGCAGAGGAGAGCGGAAUUCCGGGAGUAGCGGUGAUAUGCGUAGAUACCCGGAGGAACACCCGUGGCGAAAGCGGCUCUCUGGGCUGUACCUGACGCUAAGGCACGAAAGCGUGGGGAGCAAACCGCAUUAGAAACCCGAGUAGUCC
rnacentral:rRNA from 1 species